rnacentral:rRNA from 1 species
GAUGAACGCUGGCGGCGUGCCUAAUACAUGCAAGUCGAGCGAACAGACGAGGAGCUUGCUCCUCUGACGUUAGCGGCGGACGGGUGAGUAACACGUGGAGAACCUACCUAUAAGACUGGGAUAACUUCGGGAAACCGGAGCUAAUACCGGAUAAUAUAUUGAACCGCAUUGUUCAAUAGUGAAAGACGGUUUUGCUGUCACUUAUAGAUGGAUCCGCGCCGCAUUAGCUAGUUGGUAAGGUAACGGCUUACCAAGGCAACGAUGCGUAGCCGACCUGAGAGGGUGAUCGGCCACACUGGAACUGAGACACGGUCCAGACUCCUACGGGAGGAAGCAGUAGGGAAUCUUCCGCAAUGGGCGAAAGCCUGACGGAGCAACGCCGCGUGAGUGAUGAAGGUCUUAGGAUCGUAAAACUCUGUUAUUAGGGAAGAACAAAUGUGUAAGUAACUAUGCACGUCUUGACGGUACCUAAUCAGAAAGCCACGGCUAACUACGUG